GUUGUCUGCUGAGUAACCUUUGGUGACANAGGUUCGCUGGAGCUUAUAAAUGUCUUUCCUCAGUGAAGACAGCUUUUUGACCGUUCGAUCUCAAAUCAGGUAGGACUACCCGCUUGAACUUUAAGCAUAUCAAUAAGCGGGAGGAAAAAGAAACUAACAAGGAUUCCCCUAGUAACUGCGAGUGAAGCGGGAAAGAGCUCAAAUUUAAAAUCUGGGCAUGCCUCUGGCUGUCCGAGUUGUAGUCUGGAGAAGUGUUUUCCGGGCUGG
rnacentral:rRNA from 1 species